GCUUACUCAUGAUAUAAGGAAGCACAGACGGUUUUGUCUCUUUGUAUCUUUGUCUCUAAAGAGAAGAAGGUUCGUUGAAGAUUGUGGUCCAUAGUGAAUCUAAGAGCUGCCUCUCCUCUUUAGCGGCUGAUAGAUCUUCUUGUGACAUAAACAAGCUCAUUGCUUUGACCCGGCUGAUUGCUUUGAUCCGAUCUUUUAGAAUCUGUCUGAGUCUCUCAUCGCCUUUCACUAUGCUAGAACCACAAGUACUACAGUCUUUUCUAGCUUUCACGAGCUCAA